rnacentral:rRNA from 1 species
AUUGAACGCUGGCGGCAGGCCUAACACAUGCAAGUCGAGCGGAGCGGGGGACGGGUGAGUAAUGCCUAGGAAUCUGCCUGGUAGUGGGGGACAACGUCCGGAAACGGGCGCUAAUACAGCAUACUAGCAGAUGGGCCUAGGGCGGAGUAGCUAGUUGGUGGGGUAAGGGCCUACCAAGGCGACGAGCCGAAACUGGCCUGAGAGGAUGAUCAGUCACACUGGAACUGAGACACGGUCCAGACUCCUACGUGAGGCAGCAGUGGGGAAUAUUCGACAAUGGGCGAAAGCCCGAUCGAGCCAUGCCGCGUGUGUGAAGAAGGUCUUCGGAUUGUAAAGCUCUUUAAGUUGGGAGGCGUUACCAACAGAAUAAGCACCGGCUAACUUCGUGCCAGCAGCCGCGGUAAUAC